rnacentral:rRNA from 1 species
CAGGAGUCUAACAUAUACGCGAGUCAUUGAGGUUAUAAUAAUCUUAAAGGCGAAAUGAAAUGUGAAGGUGUAUAUAUUUAUAUAUGCACUGUCGCGUGAUCUGUAGUGAAUAUCUUGUAUUUACUACGGCGCAACGUGGACCCGUAUCGAAAUUUAUUUCUUUACGGAGUUUGAGCGUAUAUGUUAGAACCCGAGAGGUGGUGAUCUAUGCCUGGGCAAGACGAAGCCAGAGGAAACUCUGGUGGAGGUUUGAAGCGUUUCUGACGUGCAAAUCGAUCGUCUGACCUGGGUAUAGGGGCGAAAGACCAAUCGAACCACCUAGUAGCUGGUUCCCUCCGAAGUUUCCCUCAGGAUAGCUGGAGUUUAUGAUAUAAAGUAUCAUUCGGUAAAGCGAAUGAUUAGAGGAAUUGGGGACGCAACGUCCUCAACCUAUUCUCAAACUUUAAAUGGGUGAGAAAUGAUACUCGCUUAAUGUGGAGUAUUCAUUGAUAUUAGAGCUCCUAGUGGGCCAUUUUUGGUAAGCAGAACUGGCGAUGUGGGAUGAACCAAACGUUGAGAUAAGGUGCCCGAUGCGAAACGCUCAUAAGAACCCAGAAAAGGUGUUGGUUGCUUAAGACAGCAGGACGGUGGCCAUGGAAUCGAAUC